UACAUGGGGUGCAAACGUUGCUCGGAAUUAUUGGGUCGUAAAGCGCACGUAGGUGGUCUGUUAUGUCAGAUGUGAAAGCCCUCGGCUUAACUGAGGAAGUGCACCUGAAACUGGCAGGCUUGAGUACGAAAGAGGGUCGCGGAAUUCCCGGUGUAGAGGUGAAAUUCGUAGAUAUCGGGAGGAACACCGGUGGCGAAGGCGGCGACCUGGUUCGAUACUGACACUGAGGUGCGAAAGACGUGGGGAG
rnacentral:rRNA from 1 species